rnacentral:rRNA from 1 species
GCUUCUUUUUCCACCGGAGCUUGCUCCACCGGAAAAAGAGGAGUGGCGAACGGGUGAGUAACACGUGGGUAACCUGCCCAUCAGAAGGGGAUAACACUUGGAAACAGGUGCUAAUACCGUAUAACAAUCGAAACCGCAUGGUUUUGAUUUGAAAGGCGCUUUCGGGUGUCGCUGAUGGAUGGACCCGCGGUGCAUUAGCUAGUUGGUGAGGUAACGGCUCACCAAGGCGACGAUGCAUAGCCGACCUGAGAGGGUGAUCGGCCACAUUGGGACUGAGACACGGCCCAAACUCCUACGGGAGGCAGCAGUAGGGAAUCUUCGGCAAUGGACGAAAGUCUGACCGAGCAACGCCGCGUGAGUGAAGAAGGUUUUCGGAUCGUAAAACUCUGUUGUUAGAGAAGAACAAGGAUGAGAGUAACUGUUCAUCCCUUGACGGUAUCUAACCAGAAAGCCACGGCUAACUACGUGCCAGCAGCCGCGGUAAUACGUAGGUGGCAAGCGUUGUCCGGAUUUAUUGGGCGUAAAGCGAGCGCAGGCGGUUUCUUAAGUCUGAUGUGAAAGCCCCCGGCUCAACCGGGGAGGGUCAUUGGAAACUGGGAGACUUGAGUGCAGAAGAGGAGAGUGGAAUUCCAUGUGUAGCGGUGAAAUGCGUAGAUAUAUGGAGGAACACCAGUGGCGAAGGCGGCUCUCUGGUCUGUAACUGACGCUGAGGCUCGAAAGCGUGGGGAGCAAACAGGAUUAGAUACCCUGGUAGUCCACGCCGUAAACGAUGAGUGCUAAGUGUUGGAGGGUUUCCGCCCUUCAGUGCUGCAGCUAACGCAUUAAGCACUCCGCCUGGGGAGUACGACCGCAAGGUUGAAACUCAAAGGAAUUGACGGGGGCCCGCACAAGCGGUGGAGCAUGUGGUUUAAUUCGAAGCAACGCGAAGAACCUUACCAGGUCUUGACAUCCUUUGACCACUCUAGAGAUAGAGCUUCCCCUUCGGGGGCAAAGUGAC